rnacentral:ncRNA from 1 species
GGGCAGGAUGUGUGGCGUGGGCCUACGCCCACCCCACGUUCCCUUAUUCGCACUGGCGUGCUCAACGGGAACCAUCCUGCCCUGCGGGGC